rnacentral:rRNA from 1 species
UACAGAGGGUGCGAGCGUUAAUCGGAAUUACUGGGCGUAAAGCGCGUGUAGGCGGCUGUGCAAGUCGGAUGUGAAAUCCCGUGGCUCAACCACGGAAGUGCACCCGAAACUGCGCAGCUGGAGUCUCGGAGAGGAAGGUGGAAUGCUUGGUGUAGAGGUGAAAUUCGUAGAUAUCAAGCGGAACACCGGUGGCGAAGGCGGCCUUCUGGACGAUGACUGACGCUGAGACGCGAAAGCGUGGGGAGCAAACAGG